GACGAACGCUGGCGGCGUGCCUAAUACAUGCAAGUUGAGCGCUGAAGGUUGGUACUUGUACCGGCUGGAUGAGCAGCGAACGGGUGAGUAACGCGUGGGGAAUCUGCCUUUGAGCGGGGGACAACAUUUGGAAACUAAUGCUAAUACCGCAUAAAAGCUUUAAACACAAGUUUUAAGUUUGAAAGAUGCAAUUGCAUCACUCAAAGAUGAUCCCGCGUUGUAUUAGCUAGUUGUUGGGGUAAAGGCUCACCAAGGCGAUGAUACAUAGCCGACCUGAGAGGAUGAUCAGUCACAUUGGCAAUAAGACAAGCCCCAACAUCGGAAGGGAGGCAGCAGUAGGGAAUCUUCGGCAAUGGACGAAAGUCUGACCGAGCAAAGCCGCGUGAGUGAAGAAGGUCUACGGAUCGUAAAACUAUGAUGGUAGAGAAGAACGUUGGUGAGAGUGGAAAGCUCAUACAGUGACGGUAACUAAGCAGAAAGGGACGGCUAACUACGUG
rnacentral:rRNA from 1 species